AAGUGGUCACCAAAAUGUACAGCUGUUACCAACGGAAAAGGUGAAUGUGGCACUGGCACAUAUAGAGGGAUAGUCAAAGGGGCGCAUAUGCAAGGGAUGGUUGUUGAGUUGGACUAUCAGGUGUGGCUUUUGUUAACUGAUCAACUUCUUACUCCACCGCAUAGCCCUAGGGUGGGUGCACUCGUGUCUGUGAGAAAUGUCCAUUUUGUGAACCCCAGAUUUUCUUGGACUAAAGUUCUUAUACUUGGUGCUCUCUUUAGGGCUAGUGCUAUUGUAGAAUCCUUCUCUCCACUGGAAACUGGGUAAAGACAUGUACUGUGAAUUGCACUUGAGAUAAUUGUCAUUCGCACCCUUUUUUGGAUGACCUAAUAUGUAUUUAGGCCAUUUAACAUCUUUGGGAUGCCCAGACUUAUGCAUGUUCAGAAAGUAAUAUAAUUGCAUGCUGUACGUGUCAUAUACUUCCACAAUCACAGAGUUCGUUGGGGAAAUUCGUUGAGUCCUUAACAUUUUCUGCCAGAUUAUGGUAUUGGUUUUUGUUGAUAUCUCUUUUGUGUUUGUAUGGGAUAUUCUGUGGUUUUGUUUCCAAUGUUUAGAAUAUAUUACUUUCCUGGUUAGUUUACUAAGCAGUAUGGUUGGGUUUCUGGCAUCUUAUCUGGGAAGGAGACUUUUUGUUUUCUUGCGCAGUAGUUGUUAUGUUAUUACCUUAUAGGGUGAGUUGGAUGGUUGCAAGAUGCUACCAGAAGGGAGGGUUUGUUCAGAUGUAUGCUAGCUUACAAUUUCCUUUAUCGAUGCAUCCAAUUCGGCAUGGAGUAUUCAUGGAACUGUGCAACCAUGAUCCAUGUGUCUGUGGUUGUGGACCGUACAUCGGUUAACCUGAAUUUGGUAGUUCCCUUAUCUAUUUUCAUGUCAUUGUGAGGCCUUUUGGAUGAGAGCAGUGCAGUUGGAAAAUAGCUGUGAAAAACUGCAUGAUGACAAGAAAUAUAUAGCCUUCAACUCAUGUUCAGUCUGUUAGAAAGAUAUUUUCAAGUGAAGAUAUAGGUGUAUCUUUGAUGGGAAGUUUGAAGGUAUAUCACAAUGCAUGGCGUGAACUUUGUGAAGACAUGACAGCCGCUCGAUCUCUGGAUGAAGUCAUAGAAGUACAUGAAUUGUAUUUAUUGACAAUUCAGCGGCAGUGCUCAGUUUGUCUUGUUUGAGAACUCAUGAACUAUGAAAUAAUCGUUUAUGACCAGGGGAAAGCUGAAUUGUGUUUAUUACUCUCUUUUGCAUCAGUGGGCUCUGAUAGAAAGCAGGAUUAACAACAUCCUGGGAUAAGCAUUGGACCUUUAUUCUAUACAGCUGACACUUAGUGGAGGAACAGUUUCUGCAAUUAAGGCCAAAUGUGAAAUGGAAGUUGACCGUAUUGAGAAACAGUUCGAUGAUUUUAUUGCUUUCCUGCUCAGAGUAAUCUUCUCCUUGCGUUGGUUUUGAUUCAGAUGGGACUGAUUUUAAGAUUUGCACUAAACGUGUGGUUUUUUUUUUUUUAAUGGUCAAGAAACGUGUGGUUUGGUGCAUGCUGAUUCUGCAGGUGCUUUCUUUCAAGCUCAAUGUGGGGCACUUUCCUCAACUAACGGAUUUGGUAACUAGCAUAAACUACAAUUACUUUUACAUGUCAGAUAGUGGAAACCUCAGGACUCUCCCCAGCUCUGAAAAUGUUACUUCGAGACUGGGAAAGGCUUUUCUAGGCAGAACAGACUGAUUACAGUUAAGGAUUUCAUUUAUUUAUUAAUUUUGAA